GCAGUAGUAGUUCAGUGGUAGAAUUCUCACCUUCCAUGCAGGAGACCUGGGUUUGACUCCCGGUGUAUGCA
rnacentral:tRNA from 1 species